rnacentral:lncRNA from 1 species
GUUAGAAAGAAGGUAUGAUAUGCUAUCACUAAAUUAAAGAGACAUGACUAUUUAAAUAAUACUAUUUGCACCCUUAUUUCAUCAUCAUUAUCGUCUUAGAAUACAAAACAAUAAUUAUUAGAUCAGUGAAAUUAGAAGAGAAAAAACAAUUAUUGGUUGCCAUCACAAUAACUAAUUCAAAACUCAUGAAAUAUUCUAACAUAAGGUGAGUUCUUUUGUACUCUCUUGAGUCUGAUACUACUCAUAGAAUCAAAGAUAUCUUCCAACAGUAACACAUUUCUGUUUAAUGCACCUAAUAGCAAAAAGGAAUGAAUAGUUUGGUGGACAAUCAAUUUCUGAUUGACACGCAAUAUACGCUGUAAUGGAAAAAGACAAUAAAACAAUUUUAAUAAACAUGAUUUAAGAUUGUGUGCAAUCUAUGAUAAAGAAGGAAUUUUUAGAAGGAUAAACAAAAUGGCUUACCACCAACUUUCGUUGUGACAAGAAACAAGGAAAGCAGUAAAAUCAUAGUAUAAACAAACUUGAUAAUUUCUG